UACGAAGGGGGCUAGCGUUGUUCGGAUUUACUGGGCGUAAAGCGCACGUAGGCGGAUUGUUAAGUCAGGGGUGAAAUCCCGGAGCUCAACUCCGGAACUGCCUUUGAUACUGGCAAUCUUGAGACUGGAAGAGGUUAGUGGAAUUCCCAGUGUAGAGGUGAAAUUCGUAGAUAUUCGCAAGAACACCAGUGGCGAAGGCGGCUCACUGGCUCGGUACUGACGCUGAGGUGCGAAAGCGUGGGGAGCAAACAGG
rnacentral:rRNA from 1 species